rnacentral:rRNA from 1 species
AGAGUUUGAUCAUGGCUCAGGACGAACGCUGGCGGCGUGCUUAACACAUGCAAGUCGAACGGAAAGGCCCCCUUGUGGGGUACUCGAGUGGCGAACGGGUGAGUAACACGUGAGUAACCUACCCUUGACUUUGGGAUAACUUCAGGAAACUGGGGCUAAUACCGGAUAGGAGCUCCUGCUGCAUGGUGGGGGUUGGAAAGUUUCGGCGGUUGGGGAUGGACUCGCGGCUUAUCAGCUUGUUGGUGGGGUAGUGGCUCACCAAGGCUUUGACGGGUAGCCGGCCUGAGAGGGUGACCGGCCACAUUGGGACUGAGAUACGGCCCAGACUCCUACGGGAGGCAGCAGUGGGGAAUAUUGCACAAUGGGCGGAAGCCUGAUGCAGCAACGCCGCGUGCGGGAUGACGGCCUUCGGGUUGUAAACCGCUUUCGCCUGUGACGAAGCGUGAGUGACGGUAAUGGGUAAAGAAGCACCGGCUAACUACGUG